CCGAGUGCGGGCCCCUCGCGGCCCAACCUCCCACCCUUGUCUCUACACACCUGUUGCUUUGGCGGGCCCACCGGGGCCACCCGGUCGCCGGGGGACGGUUUCGUCCCCGGGCCCGCGCCCGCCGAAGCGCCCUGUGAACCCUGAUGAAGAUGGGCUGUCUGAGUACUAUGAAAAUUGUCAA
rnacentral:misc_RNA from 1 species